UACGGGGGGGGCAAGCGUUGUUCGGAAUUACUGGGCGUAAAGGGUCCGUAGGUGGCUUGCUAAGUCAGACGUGAAAUCCCUCAGCUUAACUGGGGAACUGCGUCUGAGACUGGCAAGCUCGAGUGCAGGAGAGGAACGCAGAAUUCCAGGUGUAGCGGUGAAAUGCGUAGAUAUCUGGAGGAAUACCGGUGGCGAAGGCGGCGUUCUGGACUGCAACUGACACUGAGUGAACGAAAGCCAGGGGAGCAAACGGG
rnacentral:rRNA from 1 species